UACGAAGGGGGCGAGCGUUGUCCGGAGUGACUGGGCGUAAAGCGCGCGCAGGCGGCCUGCGAGGUGUCCUGUGAAAGCCCCGUGCUCAACGCGGGAGGGUCAGGGCAAACCGGCAGCUUGAGGCCGGUAGAGGAGAGUGGAAUUCCUGGUGUAGCGGUGAAAUGCGCAGAUAUCAGGAAGAACACCCGUGGCUAAGGCGGCUCUCUAGUACGGUACUGACGCUGAGACGCGAAAGCGUGGGGAGCAAACAGG
rnacentral:rRNA from 1 species